AUCCUAGAUAGCUCAGUUGGUAGAGCAGGGGACUCUUCAUCUCUGAGUUGUGGGUUUGAGCCCCAUGCAGGGCA